rnacentral:lncRNA from 10 species
GUUGUUGGAGGAACCGAAUGCCUCACCCAUGGUGGGUACUUCAUACUGUUAGUGGUGGGCAGGUGUCCUGUCAGCCCCCUCCAAGGAAUUCACCACCCAGCGAGGCCACUAAAACCUCCAGAGUAAGUCAAUCAGCCAUACUAAGGAAAGUGCUAAGGGGGACAGACAAGGUGAGAAGAGAAUCCUGUGGGCUGGAGGCUGCAAGGAAUAAGCCAAGUAGAAGGAGAGGAAUCCCAGCGGGAGGAAUGGGGGGAGCAGGGGCUUGGGAGAUGAGGACAGGCUUAGUGAUGGUUUGUGGGAGACAGCUCUUGAGGUGGAGAGCAGGAGGUAGGGGGUGAGACAAAAGUAGAAGAGGGCUUCAGACCGCAGGCCCACAAGGAGGAGGUCCAUGAGCCCCUGAAGCUGUUUGCACAAUUGUUCCUGUACAUGUAUUUUUCUGCGCAAGACUCUGUGGUUUCAUCAGAUUCUUCAAGUAGUCUGGGGCCAUUAAGAAUCCCUGGUCCAGCUGGGUACGGUGACUCAUGCCUAUAAUCUCAGCACUUUGGGAGGCCAAGGCAGGAGGAUCACCUGAGCCCAGAAGUUUGAGACCAGCCUGGACAACAUGCAGGAGAGCAAAGGGAGAAAGCUCUAGGCUAAAGGCCAGAAGACCUAGCCCUGCCAAUAAAAUCAACCUCAUUUUGUGAAUGCCUGUUGUGUGCCAAGGACCCUGCUAAGUGCUUUGCUUGUACGUAAUCCUCAGAACAACCCUCUAAAGGAGGCAUGAUGAGUACUUUUAUCAUCACCCUCCCCAUUUUACAGAUAAGCACACUAAGGCACAGAACAGUUAAAAUUCCUGCCAGGAAAGACUCAAGUCAGACCUUUCUGAUCCCCAAACCACUCUGCCUGCUAGGCCCCGGGCUGCGGCUUCAGGAUGGGGGCUUGUAUUCUCUGUGACUCUGCUACACCUAGAUGCUCCCACUCCCACAGUCACCCUGGUCAUUUCUAGAAGGCAACAGCAGCAGGAUUUGACACAUGCCCCACAUUAGGCUAAGAGGUCUCAGGAGAAAUGGGGGCCUUUGGCACAAAGACUAUUGGCAGAUAAUCCAGGGCUGGGAGGAACUUAUUGGCAGGAAAUAGCCUGCACUGCACCUGCAGGAGGAGUGAAUCUUCAGUGUUGGUUAAGGAAAUGCAGGCUGGCCGGGCACAGUGAUGUGCACCUAUAGUCCCAGCUAGUCAGGAGACUGAGACAGAAGAAUCACUUGAGGCCAGGAGUUCAAUACCAGUCUGGGCAACAUAGCAAGACCCCAUCUCUAAAAACGGACAAUCAAACUAAGAAACUAUGUUUCCAUUAAAGCAUAUUAUUUAGUUACAUAACAGUAACUACCAAAAGAAGCAGCCCAAACUAUUCCCGUGAUUGUUUCUGGGGAGUAGAUUUGGGGGCCAAUGAGCUGUGAUGGAGGACACUUACUUUUCAUGACUUUUCCAAUGGUAUUAGUACUUUAAACCAAAAUUUUACUUUUUUAAAAAGCAAGUAUGUCAAGGCAAAGGAUCCUUCUCACUUAUAAAUGUGUAUAAAAGAAAUUUCUUUUUCCUCCCCCUCCACUCCUUCUAUUUCUGCCCUAUUUUUUUCCAGGAAGAAAAAAUGCUGGGCAUCUUGGUGCAGCACAAAGUCCGGAGUGGCGUCUCGGGCAUCGUGGGCAUGGAGGUGGAUGGGCUGCCCUUCCACAACACCCACGCCGAGAUGAUCCAGAAGCUGGUGGACGUCACCACGGCACAGGUGUAACCGUCCAUGUUCCGUGUGAGCAGAGUCCCUACCAACGGGCAGGUCUGCAUCCGGGGAGAAUGCAGCUGCUUCUGGCGACAAUCCUGCUAGUAAACACUGGUCUUCGGUGAGCAACGAACACUCGCCUGGCCUGGGAAACUGCAUGCCCACUUUCUGGGAGGGGUUAGUGCAGGUGCUGUGGACAAAGGACAACAUUUCUCUGGGGCUUUUUAACUUUUAUUCCUAAGACUCUAAAGGCGUUGAUUUCAACCCUCCUUCACUCUGGCUUCUUCAGGCAACCCACGUGGUCUCCUGUGAGAAUCUUCUCGACAGUUACUUAUGGGGACACUUGUGAACAAUUAACUGCCAGGCAGAGCAUGAGAACAAACAUUCCCAGGCCAUGUAGGAUAGGAUACUCCAGACUCCAGUCAUCCUCCCCCAUCCAUGGUUUCUGUUACUCAUGGUUUCAGUUACUCAUAGCCAACUGCAGACCGAAAAUACUAAAUGAAAAAUUUCAGA